rnacentral:tRNA from 1 species
GGGGGUAGUUAGCGGCCUGGUGGCGCUCCUGGACUUCAAAUCCAGUGGUGGGCCUGAAAAGUCCACGGUGGGUUCGAUUCCCAUCUACUCCCGCCA